rnacentral:rRNA from 1 species
ACGAACGCUGGCGGCGUGCCUAAAACAUGCAAGUCGAACGGUUCUUCGCGAGAAGGAUAGUGGCGAACGGCUGAGUAACACGUGAGUGACCUACCCGAGGGUGGGGGAUAACCCUCCGAAAGGAGGGCUAAGACCGCGUACGUCCGCCGGGGUAAAGCCCGGUGGGGAAAGGCCCGUGAGGGUCGCCCGCGGAGGGGCUCGCGUCCCAUCAGGUAGUUGGUUUGAGGUAACGGCUCACCAAGCCUAUGACGGGUAGCUGGUCUGAGAGGAUGGCCAGCCAGACUGGGACUGAGACACGGCCCAGACUCCUACGGGAGGCAGCAGUUAGGAAUCUUGCGCAAUGGGGGAAACCCUGACGCAGCGACGCCGCGUGGGCGAAGAAGGCCUUCGGGUCGUAAAGCCCUUUUCCGGGGGACGAUAAUGACGGUACCCCGGGAAUAAGCCCCGGCUAACUACGU